rnacentral:misc_RNA from 1 species
UUUCUGCCUUGGAGGUGUCUGUCGAGCUGACAGAGAACCGCGCGGCCGCGGCGGGCCUGGAUCUUUUGCGUUCUAUCGUGUCACCUCUUUCAAGCGCCAGCCGUUCGAUUGAGACGCUCCAAUUCAUAGCANNNNNNNNGCGCCUUAACAUCUAGCGCCGAUGCUGGAGGGAGUAUUCCAGUUCGGAUGAGCAUUCUCCA